GCAACAGGCCCCUGGAGGUCGAGCCUAUCGUGUUGUUGACAAAAAAACGUAACAAAUAUCGUUUUUUACUGGGCAAAAUGGGUCAGUCGUUGCCGACCCCGGACUGCGAGCCCUCGGUGUGUCCUUUGUGCCACGGUAUAUGUCGGAAUCCGACUGCGCUGAGAUGCAAACAUAUUUUCUGCUACUGCUGUAUACAGGAGUUAUGGAGUGGUUCGCCCACCGGUCCAUACUACUGCCCCGAGUGCAAGGAGGAGUACAAGACAUUACCGGUGGGGUUCAAGAGAGACACUACCGCAAGUCCGUGGCGACAUGAAGCGCCUGCACAUACACGCACCAGCUCAGCCACAGAAGGCAGAGCCAAUGAAGAGGAUGUCAUUGAGAUAAAUUCAGCGGGCUGGACCCUUGGGAAGAGAGCCUCCAUCUCUCAAUCCAAGCGUCUGUUAGGGAAGAGACCAGCCAGUUCUCCUGUCCCAGGAGGCCAUCUUCACGACAACAAGAGACAAGCGAUUGGCAGCUCCUCUUCCUCCCACUCCAGGGGACGGUCUGGUGACCGUAAGAGACCCGCCACAUCCUCUUCCUCCUCUUCAGCCAAUCAGAACACGUCGUCUGACGUCGAGUUGUCCAGUGAGGAGGAGGUGCCAGCAGCACCAUUCUCCUUAGCAACCAAACCGCCUAGUACUGCGUCCGUCGCCGUCAGAGGUCCGGACCUGACACGUGAUAGGUCUAGGUCCCCUAGGAGAGACCCACCCAUUGAGCUGGACGAACCCCCUGCUGCAACAGAACCUCUUACAAGAGAACCACUGAAUGACCCUAGAAAAUCACCUGAAGCAGCAGCAGGUCACAUGACCAACACAUCGCCAAGAAGAAUCACCACCGUUGAGCUGGACCCACCUCCACCCCCUGCAAGAGAUCCGUACACACCCGCCAAGAAUCCUGCUGAAACGACCAUAACAACCCAUUUACGUUUAGUCACCCCUACGAAGGAGAAGCCUGUUGAAGCUGAGCGGGAGCCUCUUCCAGAGAUCUCCAACAGAUCUGGUCCAAUCGGCACCUCCACCUCUCCUACCCGUGCUGCCAACAACCUGUCCCCUGGACGUACCAACCUGUCCCCCAGCCUGGCUCGUCAAACCUCUAGGGAGACCUUCCUACCCUGCCACUAUUGCCCCAGCCAGGGCUCUCUCCCUGCGGUGAAGACCUGCCUGGUGUGUGGAGCCUCCAUGUGCUCCGACCACCUCCGGCCUCACCUGGAGUCCCCUGUCUUCCAGAGCCACACCCUGGUACCCCCUGUGGAGGACACCUCACCCUGGAGGUGCCCGGAACACCAGGAGAUGAACCGGAUCUACUGCCGUCAGUGUAGUGUGUGUGUCUGUACCGUGUGUACCGUGAUCGGGUCGCACCGGGACCACGCUUGCGUCAGCAUCAGAGAGGCCGAGAGGGAGCUGAGGGGGAACCUGAAACAGGAGAUGAAGAAGAUGCAGGGAGCGGAACAGUCUUUAAUCAGCAGAGUGACUGAGAUGACAGAGAAGAAACAGAGAUUCCAGGUGUCGUCAACAAUGUAAAAGGAAUUGAUGCCAUAAGCCCGUCUUCUAAAGAUGAGUUCACAGAGUUUGAAAAGUUGUUAAGACAAGAUAUCACCUUUUGAGACUUCAAUACACUAUUCCGGCUUCCUAGAGUCCUUGUUUCGAGACCUCUGUCUCUCAUUGGAGGUAGAGGACUUGAAGAAAGUCAGCAACUCCCACAGUCUUACUAAGUGAAAAACAGAAACAAGAAAAGGUUAGUGGGUUUUUUAUUAUUUUCUUUUUCAAAAUGACAGACAAAAGUUUUUUUUUUAAAUCAGUGACAAAACUGACAUGCUUUAUUUACAAAUAAACCAAAAGCAAGCUUUUAAAAUGGUUACAUACAGAGACAUUUAUCACCAGUAUCCAUGGUCUACUUAGACCGGUAUUCAGUCCGGGUCAUGUUCAUUAGGCAUCAAACGGAAGAAAACAGACUGAGGCGUGCCCUAAUGGACA